AACGAACGCUGGCGGCAGGCCUAACACAUGCAAGUCGAACGCCCUAGCAAUAGGGAGUGGCAGACGGGUGAGUAACGCGUGGGAACGUGCCUUUCGGUUCGGAAUAACUCAGGGAAACUUGAGCUAAUACCGGAUACGCCCUUAGGGGGAAAGAUUUAUUGCCGAAAGAUCGGCCCGCGUCCGAUAAGCUAGUUGGUGGGGUAAAGGCUAACCAAGGCGACGAUAGGUAGCUGGUCUGAGAGGAUGAUAAGCCACACUGGGACUGAGACACGGCCCAGACUCCUACGGGAGGCAGCAGUGGGGAAUAUUGGACAAUGGGCGCAAGCCUGAUCCAGCCAGGCCGCGUGAGUGAUGAAGGCCCGAGGGUUGUAAAGCUCUUUCGCCAGGGACGAUAAUGACGGUACCUGGAUAAGAAGCCCCGGCUAACUUCGUGCCAGCCGCCGCCGUAA
rnacentral:rRNA from 1 species